rnacentral:rRNA from 1 species
GUUACUGACGGGCCAGCGGGGCGGUAAAUAGGUGGGUGGGAAGCGUUGGCCGGAUUUAUUGGGCGUAAAGCGAGCGCAGGCGGUUGCUGAAGUCGUAUGUGAAAGCCCACGGCUCAACCGUGGAAGGUCAUUGGAAACUGGGGAACUUGAGGGCAGAAGAGGAGAGUGGAAUUCCAUGUGUAGCGGUGAAAUGCGUAGAUAUAUGGAGGAACACCAGUGGCGAAGGCGACUCUCUGGUCUGUAACUGACGCUGAGGCUCGAAAGCGUGGGGAGCAAACAGGAUUAGAUACCCGAGUAGUC